GAAUAUUGGACAAUGGGGGGAACCCUGAUCCAGCCAUGCCGCGUGUGUGAAGAAGGCCUUUUGGUUGUAAAGCACUUUAAGCGAGGAGGAGGCUACUCUAGUUAAUACCUAGGGAUAGUGGACGUUACUCGCAGAAUAAGCCCCGGCUACAUCGGUCCACGCAGCCGCGGUAAUACAGAGGGUGCAAGCGGUAACCGGAGGUACUGGGCGUAAAGCGCGCGUAGGUGGCAAAUUAAGUCAAAUGUGAAAUCCCCGAGCUUAGCUUGGGAAUUGCAUUCGAUACUGGUUGGCUAGAGUAUGGGAGAGGAUGGUAGAAUUCCAGGUGUAGCGGUGAAAUGCGUAGAGAUCUGGAGGAAUACCGAUGGCGAAGGCAGCCAUCUGGCCUAAUACUGACACUGAGGUGCGAAAGCAUGGGGAGCAAACAG
rnacentral:rRNA from 1 species